GACGAACGCUGGCGGCGUGCUUAACACAUGCAAGUCGAACGGAAAGGCCCUGCUUUUGUGGGGUGCUCGCGUGGCGAACGGGUGAGUAACACGUGAGUAACCUGCCCUUGACUUUGGGAUAACUUCAGGAACCUGGGGCUAAUACCGGAUAGGAGCUCCUGCUGCAUGGUGGGGGUUGGAAAGUUUCGGCGGUUGGGGAUGGACUCGCGGCUUACCAGCUUGUUGGUGGGGUAGUGGCUUACCAAGGCUUUGACGGGUAGCCGGCCUGAGAGGGUGACAGGCCACAUUGGGACUGAGAUACGGCCCAGACUCCUACGGGAGGCAGCAGUGGGGAAUAUUGCACAAUGGGCGGAAGCCUGAUGCAGCAACGCCGCGUGCGGGAUGACGGCCUUCGGGUUGUAAACCGCUUUCGCCUGUGACGAAGCGUGAGUGACGGUAAUGUGUAAAGAAGCACCGGCUAACUACGUG
rnacentral:rRNA from 1 species